GCCGCCGCUCUAGUCUCACGGCCGGAACCAUCGUCUUCUCGCUGGUCCUGUGCCCUCCGCGGCUUUGCGGAUUGUUCUGCUUGAAAAUGACAAUUUAAAAAUAGGCUCGGCCAGGGGAAGUGGCUCACACAUGUAAUCCCAACACUUUGGGAUGCCAAUGCAGGCGAAUUGCUUGAGCUUAGGAGUUUGAGACCAGCCUGGGCAACAUGGUGAAACCCCGUCUCUACAAAAAAUGCAAAAGUAGCCAUGGUGGCUUGUGCAUGUGGUCGCAGCUACUCGGGAGGCUAAGGUAUUAACCCUAAGGAUUCAUUUUAAUAAGCAUCCUGCAUGCUAAACUCAGAUUCUGCUUCCCAGGGAGCCCAAGUUGUGACACUUCCCUAAUGCCUGAUCACAUCAUUAUUCCCAGGUGUGCUGGUCCUCUUUGGGAGGCUGCUGUUGCGGUCAGUUUUUCUAAGCCUGGGUUUCUGUGGAUAAGUGACUCUAGAAACACCCUGAAAUUCUGCGUGAGUAAACAGAGGUGCGUUUUUGUGGGCACAGGGUCUUCAGUUUUCAUUAGAUCCUAACAGUGAUACCUCCAUGACUCCAGAAUGGUUAAGAAUCUCUGUUCUAUGCUGUAGCUGAUUCCACAGCUUCUUCCCCACCUGCACUUCUGAACUCUUAGACUUGCUAAACGCUCAAGUUCUGACUGCUUUCACUACAGGCACAAGAGUACUCUUAGUAGUUGAGAGAAAGGGGAAGGCAGACAGGGCAUGAAUAGUACUAUUUUCUCUAUAGAAUUUUUUCGGAACAUAAUUUUUCCUUGUAUAAGUGAAUUCUCACUAAAGAAAAUGUAAAAACGGCUCGGCGCGGUGGCUCACCCCUGUAAUCCCAGCACUUUUGGAGGCCGAGGCGGGCGGAUCACCUGAAGUCAGGAGUUGAAGACCAGCCUGGCCAACAUGGUGACACCCCGUCUCUACUAAAAAUACAAAAAAUCAGAUGGGCGUGUUGGCGGCGCCUGUAAUCCCAGCUGCUGAGGAGGCUGACGCAGGAGAAUCCCUGGAACCUGGGAGGCGCAGUUUGCAGUGAGCCGAGACCGCGCCACUGCACUCCAGCCUGGGCAACAAGAGAGAAACUCCGUCUCAAAAAAAAAAAAAAAAAAAA
rnacentral:lncRNA from 1 species